rnacentral:ncRNA from 281 species
CCUGCGGAAGGAUCAUUA